GUGGAUCAUGGGGGGUGUGGCUGAGAUUAUACGGCCCUGUACUUGAUCUGGAUAAUACCAGCGAAAGGAUCAUGCUUGUCCCUCCCC
rnacentral:ncRNA from 1 species